GCAACAAUCUACUAAUAUAAAUGGACUACUAAACAGUGCAGAUUUUCAGCAGAAUGAGUAAAUGGAGGAAUUCGUCAGCGUCACACCACUACUGCUCAUAAGACAUCGUUGUACGGCAACAAGUUGUUGAAAUGUAUAAAUGAUUCUGAAAUGCAGUGCUACUGCGGUUUCCUUCUUCCAGUCCGUUGAUUUCCUCCCCUAAAGCCUCUUUAUCUCACUGCCACUUCUGCUAUACGCUCACACGCUGACUAAUAAAUAAGAAGGCUAUAACAAAUUCUUAUUACUUGAACAACACUGUCGUUCUCAUUACAUAAUCUACAAGAAAACAUGAACCAUUUAACUAUUUACUUAACCACGCAUUGAAGAAUUAGGGUAUACAUUCGUUGAAACUGUGUAAUAGUCCCAUCGUAAUUCGUAACCGUUCAACAUGUCCGUGUGUGCACUACAUUUAUCAAUAUGUUAAUCUAGAGUUGCCUUCGACAAAGCAGCUCAGCCCAAAUCUCCAGAAAAUCAAGUUGUUCUGAGAUGUCAAAACUGCCAGUUAUUUAUGCAUGACAAACUAUGGACAAGCGGGUUAAGAACGCAUAAUUUUUACCAAAGAUAGUAUUAAAUUUCUUGCCAAUUCGACACAAUCAUAUUUUUAGAGACGACGACGGGAUCCUAUAUUAUUCGCGUAUUGAUAUAUGUACAUAGAAUAAAGUUACUACAGAGUUCGGACAUCAUGUUAAAUGACUAAUGUUACAAUACGAUAGUAGUAAUAAAGGAAAGUAAGGACAAU